rnacentral:rRNA from 1 species
AUUGAACGCUGGCGGCAUGCUUUACACAUGCAAGUCGGACGGCAGCACAGAGAAGCUUGCUUCUUGGGUGGCGAGUGGCGAACGGGUGAGUAACAUAUCGGAACGUACCGAGCAGUGGGGGAUAACUAAUCGAAAGAUUAGCUAACACCGCAUAUUUUCUGAGGAAGAAAGCAGGGGACCAUUUGGCCUUGCGCUGUUUGAGCGGCCGAUAUCUGAUUAGCUAGUUGGUGGGGUAAAGGCCUACCAAGGCGACGAUCAGUAGCGGGUCUGAGAGGAUGAUCCGCCACGCUGGGACUGAGACACGGCCCAGACUCCUACGGGAGGCAGCAGUGGGGAAUUUUGGACAAUGGGGCGCAAAGCCCUGAUCCAAGCCCAUGCCCGCGUGUCUGAAGAAAGGGCCUUUCGGGGUUGUAAAAGG